UACAGAGGUCUCAAGCGUUGUUCGGAUUCAUUGGGCGUAAAGGGUGCGUAGGCGGCGCGGUAAGUCGGGUGUGAAAUCUCGGGGCUUAACUCCGAAACUGCAUUCGAUACUGCCGUGCUUGAGGACUGGAGAGGAGACUGGAAUUUACGGUGUAGCGGUGAAAUGCGUAGAUAUCGUAAGGAAGACCAGUGGCGAAGGCGGGUCUCUGGACAGUUCCUGACGCUGAGGUGCGAAAGCCAGGGGAGCGAACGGG
rnacentral:rRNA from 1 species